GUCAGGCCUCAGGACGAGGUGCGGGCGACGUGAUCGGUUUAGGUUUUUCUAAAAGUUUUUAAUUGUUUUGGGCCUUUAGACUUUGGGUUAGGUUUAGGUUAAUUUUGGGUUCGUAAAUUGGGCUUUUUGGGUUUAAUGUAAUUUGGCCUUGUAACUGUUGUAAAUGGACUUUUGAUAUUUGGACUUAUUUAUUUAUUUUUUUGGUUUUAUUUAUUAUUUUUAUUUGGUCUUGGGCCUGGGCAGAAUUGGCACAGCUGCCCCUCUUUGCUCUUUG
rnacentral:lncRNA from 1 species